rnacentral:rRNA from 1 species
CCUACGGGUGGCAGCAGUGGGGAAUAUUGGACAAUGGGCGAAAGCCUGAUCCAGCCAUGCCGCGUGUGUGAAGAAGGCCUUCGGGUUGUAAAGCACUUUCAGUGGGGAAGAAAGCCUUGGGGCUAAUACCCCCGAGGAAGGACAUCACCCACAGAAGAAGCACCGGCUAACUCCGUGCCAGCAGCCGCGGUAAUACGGAGGGUGCGAGCGUUAAUCGGAAUUACUGGGCGUAAAGCGCGCGUAGGCGGUCUGAUAAGCCGGUUGUGAAAGCCCCGGGCUCAACCUGGGAACGGCAUCCGGAACUGUCAGGCUAGAGUGCAGGAGAGGAAGGUAGAAUUCCCGGUGUAGCGGUGAAAUGCGUAGAGAUCGGGAGGAAUACCAGUGGCGAAGGCGGCCUUCUGGACUGACACUGACGCUGAGGUGCGAAAGCGUGGGUAGCAAACAGGAUUAGAUACCCGGGUAGUC